GGGGGGGAAAUAAGCAUGGGGAAAUAGUUUUACUUUGUGUAAUGACCAAUUUCUCAACCAUCUCCCUCAGUCUCUAUACAAAUAAAAUACUGCAAUGCAAAAGGUAUGUGGGUUACCCAAGCAGAAAUCUUAGAUUAUUGUUCUUUUGUUUUUCUGGGUGAGAGUCCGGAGGGGAGGAGGAGGACUGAGAAAAGGAGAGGAGAGAAAACUCCCAUGGCUGUAAAAAACCACCACAUUUAAGAAUAUUUUCAAUACGUUCCUGUACUUCUGGGUAAACAAGGAGCACAUGCCAAAUAUAAACAACGUGACAAAGGCAAUGCUCCUCAAAAGGCAAUGACUUUGAAAAUGAUGUGGGCAUGUCUGAACAAUCUGGAUCAGCUGAGUCCGGCUUAGAUAUAAGGAGUUAAGAAUGUCCAUCAUCUGCAAUGUCUACAACCUCAGAGUUAUCUGCUGGUACCACCAGCAGUGCUGCAACUAAACAUCCAUCAGACAAAUUAUCUAUAUCAAAA